UACGGGGGGGGCAAGCGUUGUUCGGAAUUACUGGGCGUAAAGCGCGUGUAGGCGGUUAUGCAAGUCGGGUGUGAAAGCCCGGAGCUCAACUCCGGAAGUGCAUUCGAUACUGCGUAGCUAGAGUACUGGAGAGGAUGGUGGAACUCUCGGUGUAGAGGUGAAAUUCGUAGAUAUCGAGAAGAACACCGGUGGCGAAGGCGGCCAUCUGGACAGAUACUGACGCUGAGACGCGAAAGCGUGGGGAGCAAACAGG
rnacentral:rRNA from 1 species